UUGAAAAAAGGAAAGAAAUUGAACAUGUAUCUUAAAAUGAGUAGGAAGUAAAUCAUACUAAAAAGCCAACUAGGCCAACUGGCAACCAGCAUAUGGAACAGAAGAACGCUUCAGAGAAACUGGAUUGACCUGACGAUGGAAAAAAAAGAUCUUAACUUUCCUGACUGGGCAAGUCUUUGCCUAAGAUUUUCCAUACUGGUUGGUUUCUGGAUGAGGAAGUACAAAAGAGCAUAUGAUCUGGGACAAACUGGGCCAGAGUCACAGAGGCAGAGAAGACAAGAGAACUGGAGGCAGGAGCUUAAGCCCUUGGAGCCAAGGAGAGACAAAUCCAUUCCAUCUUCACCUUACACCAUCAUGGUGGCUAGCUUCCUGCACUUCCCCCACUGAGACCAAGGUUGGUCUGAAAGGCUCUCCAGAAAGCUGCCCAGCCCCAGGAAGGAGAUAAUAAAGAAUUUGAACUUUAUCCCUGGCUAUUAUUGUGGUGAUUACUGAACUGAAAUGAAGGCUGGUCCAGAGACCUCCAGAAAGCCAACCAGAACAUUACACAAAUCUGUUUGUUGAAUGGCAAAUCUUGCUUCUACUAUUCGCUCUUUUUGUAAAAGUACGAAGGGACAGAAGUCACAAACUCUGUUUUCAAAUAUAUUUGAAUUUCAGAAGAUGGCAUAAGCAUUAAGCAGCAUUUGCACUGUAUAUCAUCUCAUUCAUGUUCUGUCUACAUGAAAUCACAAUAGCCAGUUAAAAAGUUAAAACUUUAAAAAAAUCAGACAUUGAUGAAAAAGAAUGGCUUCAAAUAAAAAAUUUUC